rnacentral:rRNA from 1 species
GAUCCUGGCUUAGGAUGAACGCUAGCUACAGGCUUAACACAUGCAAGUCGAGGGGCAGCAUGGAGUUGCUUGCAAACUCUGAUGGCGACCGGCGCACGGGUGAGUAACGCGUAUCCAACCUGCCCAUGGCUAGGGAAUAGCCCGCUGAAAAGCGGAUUAAUGCCCUAUGGGGUCCUUUGCAGACAUCUAAUGAGGACUAAAGGUUUACCGGCCAUGGAUGGGGAUGCGUCCGAUUAGGUAGUUGGCGGGUAACGGCCCACCAAGCCUUCGAUCGGUAGGGGUUCUGAGAGGAAGGUCCCCCACAUUGGAACUGAGACACGGUCCAAACUCCUACGGGAGGCAGCAGUGAGGAAUAUUGGUCAAUGGGCGGAAGCCUGAACCAGCCAAGUAGCGUGCAGGAAUGACGGCCCUAUGGGUUGUAAACUGCUUUUAUGCGGGAAUAAAGAAGUCCACGUGUGGGCUGUUGCAUGUACCGCAUGAAUAAGGACCGGCUAAUUCCGUGCCAGCCGCUGC